rnacentral:rRNA from 1 species
UACGGAGGGGGCUAGCGUUGUUCGGAAUUACUGGGCGUAAAGCGCACGUAGGCGGCUUUGUAAGUUAGAGGUGAAAGCCCGGGGCUCAACUCCGGAAUUGCCUUUAAGACUGCAUCGCUAGAAUUGUGGAGAGGUAAGUGGAAUUCCGAGUGUAGAGGUGAAAUUCGUAGAUAUUGGGGAAGAAACACCGGUGGCGAAGGCGGCGACCUGGUCCGAUACUGGACGCUGAGGCGCGAAAGCGUGGGGAGCAAACAGG